AAUUAUCCUCAUAAGUUUGACAAUAAGAGAAACCAUAUAAAAUUUAGAUUAGCCAUAAUUUAAACAAAUAAUAUGGUAUAAUAAAAUCGGAGGCCACGACUGUUUACUAAAAACACAAUUCAGAGCAAUAAUUAAGAUAAUAGUAUUCUGAAUGAAAUUUGCUCAAUGCCAUUAAUAUAAAAGAGGUAAUUUUAAAGUUAUUAAUUGAAAAUCUGGUUAAUAGCGGUCUUAACUAUGAGGAUCCUAAGGUAGCAAAAUAAAUUGGCCAUUAAAUGUGGUCUUGUAUCAAUAAUGUAACGAUGGUCUCACUGUCUCUACAACUUGCUCAGUGAAAUUGAAUUGCGAGUGCAGAUGCUCGCUGUCUUCAGAGGGACGGGAAGACCCUAU
rnacentral:rRNA from 1 species